CCGCGCUUUGUUGACGUGCGUGGUCUAAUCGUGUUGUGUACGUGAGUGGCGUGUAACUAGUGAUACAGCACGCAAGUACAGUCAUUAACGUGCGCGAUCCGCCGCAAAUCAGCCACGAGACAUGGCAACGGGCACGUUCAGUGGGCUGCGCGGCCAUUGCGACGAGCUGCAUUGCCGAUUCUUCGCUUGAGACUGGCAAUUGUCGAGCGGGUUGCAUCCGUUGUUACGUUGCCCGAAGACAGUAGUAAAUGUGAUUUGCAGGGUGCAAGCAACGUGUCAUUGUGGUUAGAAAAAAUGAAUCAGUAUACAUGUGAUUUAACUGUCAAAGCCGGAAUGUUUAAAGGAUCGACUGUCCAGCGAGGAGAUUGCGGAAUCAGCAACUGACAUAUUGACUGAUGAAACAUGAUGGUGCGUGCAGCAAGAGAGGGUUUGACUGCAGAUCCUGACCACCUGCCCCUGUAAAUUUGUACCAACCACAGGCGCAAAGAAGAAACGCUUUGAAUACCUGCGGUCUUCUAUCAGCUAGACAAGUCCCUGAAGAUAUAAAUCAAUAAACUUUGAUGUAUUCUGCUUUGGAGGUAUAAAGCAAUAAAAUAUGAAUUCUUUUCGAAUGGUGCAUGUUUUUUUUUUCUUCAGAAAAUUUCUUGUGAGCACGCACAACCCGAGCAACAAAAGUAAAGGACUGACAAUCACCCUCUUUUUGGCUGCCCUCUGGGUUUCAGCUGUCCUGCAGUACCAGCAU